AGCAAGUGAGCUUUGUUCUCUGUAGAAUUCUAAAGACUCUAUGCUAACUUUAAGCAAAGAGAAAUGGUCUUUUUGAUUACUUUUAUGACUUGUGACUAUCUAAGGCCAGUCCUUUAGAUAAUGAGUUUUGAACGUGUCAAAUAGAUGGCGUGAAAGAAUGUUGUUUGUUGUGUCAGAUACGGGCUUAUGGCGGCUCGUUGCCAAAAGUUUAGCUACAGCUAUUUUCUUCGAAAAUUACUAAUGAAUUCGCUGGAGAAAAUGUGAAAGGUGCAUGAAGCCUGUACUGUCUUGUAUUGUGUUAAAAAUCCUGGUAUCCUACUGAAUAUGUCAUCCAAAUGACAGAGUGGAUUCAUCACUAUUAUCGGCUUAAUCAUUCUAUGGGACUUGCCAGAUCACCAAACCCAUCACGGACCAAUCUCUCAUUCCAUCUUCUAGAGAACCUUG